AGUCGAACGGCAGCACGGACUUCGGUCUGGUGGCGAGUGGCGAACGGGUGAGUAAUGUAUCGGAACGUGCCUAGUAGCGGGGGAUAACUACGCGAAAGCGGCUAAUACCGCAUACGCCCUUCGGGGGAAAGCGGGGGACCUUCGGGCCUCGCACUAUUAGAGCGGCCGAUAUCGGAUUAGCUAGGUUGGUGGGGGUAACGGCUCACCAAGGCGACGAUCCGUAGCUGGUUUGAGAGGACGACCAGCCACACACUGGGACUGAGACACGGCCCAGACUCCUACGGGAGGCAGCAGUGGGGAAUUUUGGACAAUGGGGGAAACCCUGAUCCAGCCAUCCCGCGUGUGCGAUGAAGGCCUUCGGGUUGUAAAGCACUUUUGGCAGGAAAGAAACGGCACGGGAUAAUACCCCCGUGCAACUGACGGUACCUGCAGAAUAAGCACCGAAGCAACUACGUGCCAGCAGCCGCGUAAUACGUAGGGUGCAAGCGUUAAUCGGAAUUACUGGGCGUAAAAGCGUGCGCAGGCGGUUCGGAAAGAAAGAUGAAAUCCCAGAGCUUAACUUUGGAACUGCAUUUUUAACUACCGAGCUAGGAGGUGUCAGAGGGAGGUGGAAUUCCGCGUGUAGCAGUGAAAUGCGUAGAUAUGCGGAGGAACACCGAUGGCGAAGGCAGCCUCCUGGGAUAACACUGACGCUUCGCGCACGAAAGCGUGGGGAGCAACAGGAUUAGAUACCCUGGUAGUCCACGCCCUAAACGAUGUCAAUCUAUUGCCAGCCUCGCCCGGUAGCGCAGCUAACGCGUGAAGUUGACCGCCUGGGGAGUAUUAUUCGCAAGAUUAAAACUCAAAGGAAUUGAUUGGGACCGCACAAGCGGUGGAUGAUGUGAUUAAUUCGAUGCAACGCGAAAAACCUUACCUACUCCUGACAUGUCUGAAAUCCCGAAGAGAUCGGGGAGUGCUGCAAGAGAACCGGAACACAGGUGCUGCAUGGCUGUCGUCAGCUCGUGUCGUGAGAUGUUGGGUUAAGUCCCGCAACGAAGGCAACCCUUGUCAUUAGUUGCUACGAAAGGGCAUCGACGAGAUCACAGAAGAAACUGGAGGAAGGUGGGAUGACGUCAAGUCCUCAUGGCCCUGGCGGCAGGGCUUCACACGUCAUACAAUGGUCGGGACAGAGGGUCGCCAACCUGAGGGGGAGUCAAUCCAGAAACCCGAUCGUAGUCCGGAUCGUAGUCUGCAACUCGACUGCGUGAAGUCGGAAUCGCCAGUAAUCGCGGAUCAUAUGUCGCGGUGAAUACGUUCCCGGUCUUGCACACCGCCCGUCACACCAUGGGAGUGGCUUUACCAGAAGUAGUUAGCCUAACCCGUAUGAGGGCGAUUACCACGGUAGGAUUCAUGGACUGGGGUGAAGUCGUAACAAGGUAG
rnacentral:rRNA from 1 species